GCAAGUUUAACAUCUGAAGUUGAGUUCAUCUCCUUCUUCCAUCAAGUGUUUUGCUUGGUUAUGUGAGUGACAUCCACAAUUAGAUAGUGUUGAGUGGCAUCGACUAUCCCUUGGUCGAGUGACAUCCCAGGCAACAACAAACGAAUAUGGAUUCGCUGAAGCGAUGCACGCAAUUUGCAAGAGGAUUUUAAAACUCAAAAUCUAAUCCCCAUUUCAUAGUCCUAUAGGAGUACAUGGUUUUGGCUUAUUAUAGCCCACAAUAAAUGAAAAAUAGCUCUCAAUACCCAUAUUAAUGUUUUAGCCAACUUCCAACCUCCUAAUAAUUGAAAAACAACUCCCAACACCUUAUUAGUUGCUGUAGACAACUCCAAACCACUUCUACAACCUCCGAAGGCUGUAAACAUUAAAUGCUCAACUACUUCCUAUACCUAACAUACAAUUAAAGACAAAUGCUUAAAUUCAAAAUUCAAAAUCCAAAAUAAAUAACAUUCUAGGUUUUGUUCAGCACAUACCAUAUGCUAUCUCAAUUGCCAAGUCAGGUGCCACGUCAGCUUCGAUGAAAUGACAUGUAGGAGUUUGAUUGUACAAUUGCAUCAUUCUCAUUUUCUUCAAAAAUCAACUUGAACUCAAGUUGAAACUUACGUCCUCCCAAAAUGGUUUGCCGAUCAGAUUUACUCUUCGUUGCAACCACAAAGAAUGCGACAUCGUCCCAUUUAUAACUCUGCUCGUACUUCUAGAAGGAUAUGAGGCUAGUCUUGGCUCUUCGAGAAACCAAGUCUUCCGCAAAAGUUUCACAAUGUUCUGUUUUUAACCUCUUUCUAGUUCAUCAAAGAUUGGUAAAUAUUCAUUGUAGUUUGGAAGUUUUGACCAAUCAAACAGAACGUCAUCUGCACUUUCAUUAGCAUCGAAAGUGAAAUACAUAAGAUAAUUUUGCUUUUGAUCUAUUUCGAAUCAAAAGCUCUAUUACCAAUUUGAUGCAGAGCACGAGCAAUGACAACAAACGAAUAUGGAUUCAUUGAAGCGAUGCACAUGACUUGCAAAAGGGUUUUAAUGUCAUUUCAUCAAAGUUGACGUGGCACGAUGAUGUGGCAACCUAACCUGGCAGUUGAGCAUAUGGCAUAUGUGCUGGACAGGAUCUAGAUUGUUAUUUAUUUCGAAUUUCGAAUUUAAGCAUUUAUGUGUCUUUAAUGGUAUGUUGGUAUAGAAAGUAGUUGAGCAUUUAAUGUUUUAUAGCUAUUGAAGGUUGUAAAAGUGGUUGAAAAUUGUCUGUAGCAAUUAACAGGUGUUGGGAGCUGGUUUUCAUUUUUUAGGUUGGUGGAAGUUGGCUGAAGCAUUAAUAUGGAUGUUGGGAGCUGUUUUUCAUUUA